AAUUGAGUUUGUUAGCAGUUUACCAUGUAAAUGUAAAUUGGAAUGAAGUUUUCAAUAACAGUAUUAAAUGUGUGCUGUAAUUUACAUUUCCGCCACCCAGUAUUAUUUAGAGUCGUAAAGAUUAUACAAUCAACAAAGAGCAAUAUUGUUUUUGGAGACUCACUGUCAUUUUGUUCAUUGAUAUGCCAUAACCAAUCAUAAUUUAUCACAUCUAUAUAAUGUAUUGUUAGAUUGAUAAUUCAAAUAAAACUGCUCUAUU
rnacentral:lncRNA from 1 species